rnacentral:tRNA from 1 species
UCCCUGAUGGUCCAGUGGCUAAGACUCCAUGCUCCCAAUCAGGGGACCCAGGUUCAAUCCCUGGUCAGGGAA